rnacentral:rRNA from 1 species
GUAGGGUGCGAGCGUUAUCCGGGAAUCAUUGGGGCGUAAAGAGCUCGUAGGCGGUUCAGCAAGUCGGCUGUGAAAUUCCGAGGGCUCAACCUCGGAACUGCAGUCGAUACUGCUGUGACUCGAGUCCGGUAGAGGAGAAUGGAAUUCCCGGUGUAGCGGUGAAAUGCGCAGAUAUCGGGAGGAACACCAGUAGCGAAGGCGGUUCUCUGGGCCGGCACUGACGCUGAGGAGCGAAAGCGUGGGUAGCAAACAGGAUUAGAUACCCUGGUAGUCCACGCCGUAAACGUUGGAUACUAGGUGUGGCGUUCCGACCAACGGUCGCCGUGCCGAAGCUAACGCAUUAAGUAUCCCGCCUGGGGAGUACGGCCGCAAAGGCUA